AUUGAACGCUGGCGGCAUGCCUUACACAUGCAAGUCGAACGGCAGCACGGGAGCUUGCUCCUGGUGGCGAGUGGCGAACGGGUGAGUAAUACAUCGGAACGUACCCUGAAGUGGGGGAUAACGUAGCGAAAGUUACGCUAAUACCGCAUAUUCUGUGAGCAGGAAAGAGGGGGAUCGCAAGACCUCUUGCUUUAGGAGCGGCCGAUGUCGGAUUAGCUAGUUGGUGAGGUAAAGGCUCACCAAGGCGACGAUCCGUAGCGGGUCUGAGAGGAUGAUCCGCCACACUGGGACUGAGACACGGCCCAGACUCCUACGGGAGGCAGCAGUGGGGAAUUUUGGACAAUGGGGGCAACCCUGAUCCAGCCAUGCCGCGUGAGUGAAGAAGGCCUCGG
rnacentral:rRNA from 1 species